UCCGUAGGUGAACCUGCGGAAGGAUCAUUGUCGAUGCCUUACAAGCAGUCCAACACGUGAAUCAGUUUGAACACAUAGGGGUGGGUUGAGGUGUUAACCACCUCCGCCUACCUCAGGUUCAGAGGUGGACGACUCGUGCGUUCUCCUUUGUGCCAACAAAACAAACCCCGGCGCUGAAUGCGUCAAGGAAUUAAAAUUUAGCUCUGAGCGCAACCUGCAUGGCAUGCAUCGGAGACGGUGUUCGUGCGGGUUACGUUUUGACACAUUAUAUAGAAUGACUCUCGGCAACGGAUAUCUAGGCUCUUGCAUCGAUGAAGAACGCAGC
rnacentral:rRNA from 1 species